rnacentral:rRNA from 1 species
CAGUCGCCGCGGUAAUACGAGGGGGGCAAGCGUUGUUCGGAAUUAUUGGGCGUAAAGGGUGCGUAGGCGGUUCGUUAAGUCUGUUGUGAAAGCCCCGGGCUCAACCUGGGAAUGGCAAUGGAUACUGGCGAGCUAGAGUGUGUCAGAGGAUAGUGGAAUUCCUGGUGUAGCGGUGGAAUGCGCAGAUAUCAGGAGGAACACCAAUAGCGAAGGCAGCUCGCUGGGACGUUACUGACACUGAGGCGCGAAAGCGUGGGGAGCGAACAGGAUUAGAUACCCCGGUAGUCCCUGUCUCUUAUAC